CCAGCAGCCGCGGUAAUUCCAGCUCCAAUAGGAUAUAUCAAAGUUGUUGCAGUUAAAAAGCUCGUAGUCGUAUUUCUGGUGGGUUGAAGUUUGCGUCAAUUGAGGUGAAAGCCUCUUUCGAGUGUGAACCGCCUGCCAUUUUGUGGGUACAUAGUGGUCAUUUUGUGGUUCACUCUAUGAGAUGAUCGCUCCACUCCGUCACUGAGAGCAAAUUGGAGUGCUCAAAGCAGGCUUUACAGCUUUGAACAUUUUAGCUUGGAAUGACAAAGUAUGACUUUUUGUUCACUUUGUUGGUUAUGAACGAAUAGUAAUGAUAAAUAGGAACAGUUGCGGGGGUACUCGUACUGGGAAGUCAGAGGUGAAAUUCUUAGAUUUUCCCACGACGAACGACUGCGAAAGCAUUUACCAAGGAUGUUUUCA
rnacentral:rRNA from 1 species